rnacentral:rRNA from 1 species
CGGGAGAGCUCAAAUUUGAAAUCUGGCGUCCUCAGGGCGUCCGAGUUGUAAUCUAUAGAGGCGUUUUCCGUGCCGGACCGUGUCCAAGUUCCUUGGAACAGGAUAUCAAAGAGGGUGACAAUCCCGUACUUGACACGACGACCGGUGCUCUGUGAUACGUCUUCUACGAGUCGAGUUGUUUGGGAAUGCAGCUCAAAAUGGGUGGUGAGUUCCAUCUAAAGCUAAAUAUUGGCGAGAGACCGAUAGCGAACAAGUACCGUGAGGGAAAGAUGAAAAGCACUUUGGAAAGAGAGUUAAACAGUACGUGAAAUUGUUGAAAGGGAAACGAUUGAAGUCAGUCGUGACCGAGAGGCUCAGCCGGUUCUGCCGGUGUAUUCCCCUCGGUCGGGUCAACAUCAGUUUUGUCCGGUGGAUAAGGGCGGUAGGAAGGUGGCACCCUCGGGUGUGUUAUAGCCUGCCGUCGCAUACAUCGGGUGAGACUGAGGAACGCAGCUCGCCUUUAUGGCCGGGGUUCGCCCACGUCCGAGCUUAGGAUGUUGACAUAAUGGCUUUAAACGACCCGU